rnacentral:lncRNA from 1 species
GAUUGAUGAGAAAUAGAGUAACUAAGGAACACCGUAAGGUACGGUGCCCUUAAGUGAAUUGUAGAACAUCGUAAGGUACGGUAUACUUAAGUAGAAUACGAAAUAUGGUAAGGUACCAUGAGCUUAAGUGAUUUUGGGCAUACUAUAAGAUAUGGGCCAAAUACACUUAAGUGGGCCUUUUAGCUUGAAGCCCACACAAGUGGUUCUAUAAAUAGAACCCAUGCGCAGAAGCA